AUGAACGCUAGCGGCAGGCUUAAUACAUGCAAGGUUGAGGGGCAGCAUGAUAUACGCGAGUAUAUUGAUGGCGACCGGCGGACGGGUGAGUAAUAGGUAGGAGACCUACCUCAUACAGGGGGAUAGCAUAGAGAAAUCUGUGGUAAUACCCCAUGAGGUUAUAUGAAUAGAGGCAUAUAAUCAAAGCAUAAGCGAUUAUGCGGUAUGAGAGGGGCCUACUGACCAUUAGCUAGUUGGUGAGGUAAGGGCUCACCAAGGCGAAGAUGGUUAGGGGUUUUGAGAGAGAGACCCCCCACAUUGGAACUGAGAGACGGUCCAGACUCCUACGGGAGGCAGCAGUAGGGAAUAUUGGGCAAUGGGCGAAAGCCUGACCCAGCCAUGCCGCGUGAAGGAAGACGGCCUUAUGGGUUGUAAACUUCUUUACUACGCGAAUAGAGGUUAGUACGAGAUACUAAUAGAAAGGUAGUGUAGUAAAAAGCACCGGCUAACUCCGUG
rnacentral:rRNA from 1 species